UCCCUGGUGGCUCAGAUGGUAAAGCAUCUGCCUGCAAUGCGGAAGACCCGGGUUUGAUUCCUGGGUCGGGAA
rnacentral:tRNA from 1 species